GUUUUGGAAGCUUAGUAUUGCUCCAGUAAAUGUCUAAGUUAUAUUCAGGGAGGUGUUUUGUGGGGGCAGUGGUGAUAUUUUGAUAACAUAGGCUUUAUGUUCCUUAAUCCUAGUUUUGGGGUUGCGGGAUGUAUAUUCAAUGUGCACUUCAUCUUUGUUGAGAUCCGGAUUUUUGAGUGGGAUUUUAUAGACACCUGGUCCACUGAUAAAGGGCGUAUUGUCUUUAUCAUUAUGCAGCAAAUUGAGGAGAGUGUUUUUUCAUUUGAAGGUGAGCUUAUGGCCAGUACGACGUUCGAUCGUUUUACUUAAAUUCCUGAGAGUGGUAGUAGAUUGGAGUUUAUUGUAAGCAAUAUUUUGCGGAGGAGAGAUUUUGUUCAACUGCUUUUUGACCUGUUGUGGGA
rnacentral:lncRNA from 1 species